rnacentral:misc_RNA from 1 species
GAACGCAUAUUGCGCUCUCUGGUAUUCCGGAGAGCAUGCUUGUUUGAGUAUCAGUAAACACCUCAACUCCCUUUCUUCUUGAAAUGGAGCUGGACUUGAGUGAUCCCAACGCUUUAUUCAUAAAGUGGCGGGUUACUUUAAAUGCAGGUGCAGCUGGACUUUUCUCUGAGCUAUAAGCAUAUCUAUUUAGUCUGCCUCAAAACAGAUUAUUACCUUUGCUGCAGCUAACAUAAAGGAGAUUAGUUCUUGUGCUGACUGAUGCAGGAUUCACAAAGACCGCUUCGGCUGUCUUUGUAAACUCGAUCUCAAAUCAAGUAAGACUACCCGCUGAACUUAAG